UACCGAAAGGUAUGCUAAUACGAGAUAAAAUACUUUUAUCGCAUGGUAGAAGUAUCAAAGCUUUUGCGGUACAGGAUGGACCCGCGUCUGAUUAGCUAGUUGGUAAGGUAACGGCUUACCAAGGCGACGAUCAGUAGCCGACCUGAGAGGGUGAUCGGCCACAUUGGAACUGAGACACGGUCCAAACUCCUACGGGAGGCAGCAGUGGGGAAUAUUGCACAAUGGGCGAAAGCCUGAUGCAGCAACGCCGCGUGAGCGAUGAAGGCCUUCGGGUCGUAAAGCUCUGUCCUCAAGGAAGAUAAUGACGGUACUUGAGGAGGAAGCCCCGGCUAACUACGUGCCAGCAGCCGCGGUAAUACGUAGGGGGCUAGCGUUAUCCGGAAUUACUGGGCGUAAAGGGUGCGUAGGUGGUUUCUUAAGUCAGAGGUGAAAGGCUACGGCUCAACCGUAGUAAGCCUUUGAAACUGGGGAACUUGAGUGCAGGAGAGGAGAGUGGAAUUCCUAGUGUAGCGGUGAAAUGCGUAGAUAUUAGGAGGAACACCAGUUGCGAAGGCGGCUCUCUGGACUGUAACUGACACUGAGGCACGAAAGCGUGGGGAGCAAACAGGAUUAGAUACCCUGGUAGUCCACGCCGUAAACGAUGAGUACU
rnacentral:rRNA from 1 species